rnacentral:rRNA from 1 species
GACGAACGCUGGCGGCGUGCUUAACACAUGCAAGUCGAACGGAAAGGCCCUGCUUUUGUGGGGUGCUCGAGUGGCGAACGGGUGAGUAACACGUGAGUAACCUGCCCUUGACUUUGGGAUAACUUCAGGAAACUGGGGCUAAUACCGGAUAGGAGCUCCUGCUGCAUGGUGGGGGUUGGAAAGUUUCUGCGGUUGGGGAUGGACUCGCGGCUUAUCAGCUUGUUGGUGGGGUAGUGGCUUACCAAGGCUUUGAAGGGUAGCCGGCCUGAGAGGGUGACCGGCCACAUUGGGCCUGAGAGACGGCCCAGACUCGAACGGGAGGCAGCAGUGGGGAAUAUUGCACAAUGGGCGGAAGCCUGAUGCAGCAACGCCGCGUGCGGGAUGACGGCCUGCGGGUUGUAAACCGCUUUCGCCUGUGACGAAGCGUGAGUGACGGUAAUGGGUAAAGAAGCACCGGCUAACUACGUG